rnacentral:tRNA from 1 species
GAUAAGGUGGCUGAAAUAUUAGGCAAUAAAUUGUAAAUUUAUGAAUGAGUUAUACUCUCUUAUCA